GUCGCAUUGUUGUUGAUGACAUUCGUCCCAAGGAGACGUGGUGUCAUGUCGCUUGUGAAUCUUAGUUUUUAGCUCUUCGAGCUUAAAACACAUGGAUAAUGAUCGGUGAUAGACAUCACUCCCUUGGUCGAUGAAAGUCGUCCAAUGAUGUGAUGGCUUGUUUCCUUUCUUCUCGCAUCGCUCGGUGCAUUCUGAGGUCAUUUUGGCUGUUAGCGGCUUGCUUUGCAAUUGGGCUUGGUGGGUGGCUAAUAGUUCGGGUGUCUUCGGGGAUGUCUACCGUAAAGGUGCAUGAGUGGUGUUUGGUUUGUUACGGGUGGUUGGCUCUUUGCUUGCGCAACAACUUCCACCUGGCAUACCUCUUCAGUCUUGUGUCAAUGCUUGUAUUGCAUUGAAUGCAUGAUGGGUUUCUCGUGUUGCAUGCCUAAUCAAUGGUAUCGUUUGAUCAAUUGGUUUCCCUUUCGUCUUGCGUCGCCUAUGCGAUGUUAGAUGAACCUUGAAGCAGCCUUUGUGAUCUACACCUUUGAUGCAUACGCAUUGAUUUUGUGGCCCAUCAAGUGUUGCUUGGUCUCAUGGAUAUGGAACAUGGUGUGGGCAUGGAAUUGUAGUGGUUCCUUGUUUGCCCAAGUUUAGCUUUUCUAAAACGAUUUGUCUAUCA
rnacentral:misc_RNA from 1 species